AGAGUUUGAUCCUGGCUCAGAACGAACGCUGGCGGCAGGCCUAACACAUGCAAGUCGAACGAUACAGUGGCAGACGGGUGAGUAACGCGUGGGAACGUACCUUUCACUACGGAAUAGCUCCGGGAAACUGGUGGUAAUACCGUAUACGCCCUCAGGGGGAAAGAUUUAUCGGUGAAAGAUCGGCCCGCGUUGGAUUAGCUAGUUGGUGAGGUAAUGGCUCACAAAGGCGACGAUCCAUAGCUGGUCUGAGAGGAUGAUCAGCCACAUUGGGACUGAGACACGGCCCAAACUCCUACGGGAGGCAGCAGUGGGGAAUCUUGCACAAUGGGCGAAAGCCUGAUGCAGCCAUGCCGCGUGAAUGAUGAAGGCCUUAGGGUUGUAAAAUUCUUUCGUCAGGGAUGAUAAUGACCGUACCUGAAGAAGAAGCCCCGGCUAACUUCGUGCCAGCAGCCGCGGUAAUACGAAGGGGGCUAGCGUUGUUCGGAAUUACUGGGCGUAAAGCGCACGUAGGCGGAUUUUUAAGUCAGGUGUGAAAUCCCGGGGCUCAACCUCGGAACUGCAUUUGAAACUGGAAGUCUUGAGACCAGGAGAGGUUAGCGGAAUACCGAGUGUAGAGGUGAAAUUCGUAGAUAUUCGGUGGAACACCAGUGGCGAAGGCGGCUAACUGGACUGGUACUGACGCUGAGGUGCGAAAGUGUGGGGAGCAAACAGGAUUAGAUACCCUGGUAGUCCACACCGUAAACGAUGAGAGCUAGUUGUUGGCAGGCAUGCCUGUCGGUGACGCAGCUAACGCAUUAAGC
rnacentral:rRNA from 1 species